rnacentral:rRNA from 1 species
UACGGAGGGUGCGAGCGUUAAUCGGAAUCACUGGGCGUAAAGCGCGCGUAGGCGGCUUUUCAAGUCAGGGGUGAAAUCCCACGGCCCAACCGUGGAACUGCCUUUGAAACUGUAGAGCUUGAGUGUCGGAGAGGGUGGCGGAAUUCCAGGUGUAGGAGUGAAAUCCGUAGAUAUCUGGAGGAACACCGGUGGCGAAGGCGGCCACCUGGACGACAACUGACGCUGAGGUGCGAAAGCGUGGGUAGCACACAGG